AUUCAAAUAAGUUUAGAGGAAACCUAUAUAAGCAAUAAAACCAGACCAAGAAUGCUUGAUUACAAACGAUGAACUCAUUUCAUUUGCAAGUUAUGCCAUGACAUAAAUGCAUUAAAUUAGGAAGAUUUGUAUUAGAUGAAUUACCCAGAUAACAAUUAAAACAACUUCUGUUGAUAAGAACAUUUGAUUGGUGGAAUCCAGAUUCUGUGAAUGUACAUGUAAUUUAUUGACAAGUACACAUUUGACAAGGUGGUGAGAAACGUGUAGAUCUGGCCUGCUUACAGUGGCUAUUGGAUUGGACAGAACCAAAGUGAGAGUGAACGUGUGAAUUUAUGGAGAACAUUAAAAACUAUUUUACUAUAAGUCAUAACGCAACUUAAUUUGUAUGAGUUACAUACAAAUGUCAAGCCGUGAGUACAUUAUGUAAAAACUAAAACAAUGUACUGUAAUCACAACAGUAACUGUAAUCUUUUAAAAUCCAAUAGUUUUAAUGCUUAUUGAUUUUCGUAAACAAAAUAUUUCAUGUUAUAUUUCAUCAAUAAAGUUUCAUUUGAUA